AUGAGAAAUUAGGGGAGAUGCUCCCAAACCCCCGAAACCACACCAAAAACCUACCUCCGACGGGCUCCUUCUACAACUUCCUCUUAAUCACCUCCUAAGCCUUCGAAGAAGGCUAGCAAGGCUACGAUUAAGGAGACACUUCUAACUCUGAGGUUCUACAUAACUGCUUUUGAUGAGAUGGAGACACUUCUCAACACUGAAAUCAACAAGAAUUUGAACCAAGCUAAGUUUGAGUCUUUGCUCCAAGAGAAAUCAAAUCCCAUCUUCCAUUAGCCAGUAUUUCAUUUGCUUUAUCUGGUUUUCUAUUUCUUAUGUCUUCCUUCGGCUUUGUUUGGAAGUGUUUUGAAGUAUAUGUUUUAUAUUAAACCAAUAUUCUAAUUAUAACAUAUUAUUAUGGCUAAUUUUGUUGUGGGUUUUUUGUUGCAGAUCAAUUCUUGCUUGCUUCUUUUCUGCAAGGAGGGAGGCGACUGGAAGUUUGAAAAUUUUUCUUUCUAAUGAAGCUUUUUCCUCUCAAAAUUAGUCAUUCACUGGAUCCCAUCAUCCUGUUCUAAGGCCGGAGAAUAGUCGAGAAGACUCUCAUGGUGGUCUACGAACCGUUCGUGGGGAGAUUGAAGCAGAUUUGAGAAUCAACUUAGGCUACAAAGAUUGACCCAACUCCAUUGCCAUAUCUUUUCGAAAAAAUGUAUCAAAGAACUAUGACAUCUCAUUGGAGGUACUUAAUUCAUUCCAUAUACUAUUGUUUUUUUAGUUUGUAGCUUGAUUAACCGCAUUUUUGGCUUGAAACUCCCAAAUCAUAUCAUAUUCAAUGCCUUCGAUAGUUUUAGUUUGAGUUGAGCUUCACAUUUACGGAUGCACGGGUUAACUUAUAGCCAUAUUCAAUGUUUUGAUUUCAAAAGAAUGAUUUAGUUUCAAGCUCAAAUGUGAUUUUUUAUUUGUAUUUCAUGUUAGGUUUGUGAAUCAUGUUACUAUUUGAGUUUUCCUUAAGUUUUCAGGACUUUAUAGGUUAUGGUGCUUAAUUUUAAUAAUUUUUAAAUUAUUUCGAUAUAUAUGUUGUGGUUUUUGGUAUGUUAUUUUAAUAUAUGUAGGUGCUAAAACAACAAUUCAAGGUGAGAUACAUUAUUCUUAUGGAGGCGGGAGCAUAGUGAGGAAAA